rnacentral:lncRNA from 1 species
UCCAUUUCAGGUGUCACGCUUAAAGAAUAUCAUAAGUUUUUUUUAAAGAGAAGCAAUCAGUUUUCUUGGUAUCUUUUGCUGGUCCUUCUUGAAUCAGUUCUGGGUAUCAAUCUUUUGAUUCAGUUUUGUGAGAAAUCUAGUUUGCAUAGAAAGCUGUCCAAAAGUAAAAAAGAAACAAAACCUACUGUUUCAUUGCAUCCGUGGGUGUAAGUCAGAUUCUGGACUGUGAUUCUCAUUUCUUUCUAUUGCUGAAGUGUUGGAAUAGUUUACUGAUUCAAUCCUGGUUUGGUCGAGUCUGUUCUGUUCUGAUAUUUGCUGGUGCUGUGGGCUUUACAAUUUGUUCUGGCUGUGAUUGAGUAUUGUUCUUGUCUGUUGCUGGUGUUACUAUUGUAUUGUUACUGUUGAAUUGUUGCUGGUUAUUUGUUGUUGCACUGCUGUUGUAUUACUGCCGCUGGUCUCAUUUCCUCCUUCUAUUUUGCAGUUUCCAGGUAUUCAUUGAACACUUAUGGAUACCCUUGAAUGUAAUGGAGAGUUUUUUUAAGCUGAAAUGAAAAAAUGCCCUUCUGAAACUG